UCAAUCACCAACUAGACCUAGGAAAGACUGAACCGAUGCCCAUCAGUUUGACCAUCGGUGGGGAACCUUUUAUAGCCUGUUCAAGGCGGCUUCAAGGCAGACAAAAGCAGAGAAGGAGGAUGUGGAGCAGGGACGCUAUGGGGAGAUGCCUGGAAAUAAGUGGUGUUCCUUGGAGCAGGGAUAUUGGCUGGGUUCAGCCCCGAGAAGCCCUGGGCCUGAGAUUCCUCACCAUUUGGAUGAGACAAUGGAUGCCACUACUUAUGCGGCACCUGAAGAGUUGGCAUCAUCACUCAGGAAGUCUGGACCUCUCCGUUUCAACUUUGGGAUUGCAAGUCUCGUUUUCAUGUGUCUUUGUUGAUUUUGAUUUUUAAAAUGGUUUUUUUUUUUGGUCGCACAUGGUAUUCAAUUUUUUGAAUACUUAUUUUUUUGUAAGCUUUGUAUGAAUAUAGGAAGUUGCCUUAUACUGAGGCAGCUCACCUGCCAAUCUAGCCCAGUGUGUUGUCCACACACUGUUGACUGGUAGGGGUCUCAGGGCUUACAGGCAGGGGACAUUUCCAGCCCUACCUGGAUAUAUUGGGGACUGAACCAAGGACUAUCUUAUAGGUUUUGUCGUAUAAACUUCCAAUAUUGGUUAUUACCCCCAUUCCAAAUAAGACAAAGCAGGAAAAUGUGCAGUUUACAGAGCUGCAGUUCAUCUGAUGUAAUUUAGCAGGGUGCAGUCAGAUGUUGCCUUGAUUGUUGCCCCCCUCAAUUCUGUGCAUAAGAGAGCUUCAGAGAUUCGCAAAGGGAUGGAAUAAAGUUUCUGAAGAAUUUUUUUCUGCACUAUUUCUAAGGCUUUGAAUCUGGAUUUAGAAUUGAAGCCUCAAAUGCCCACACUGUAAAGCUUGGGUAGAAAGUUACUAAUAAGUCAUAAUCAUUCAUUCAUUCAUUCAUUCAUUCAUUCAUCAUUUCUCUUUUAAAAACAGUCCAUUGUUCAGGAUGAGACCAAAGACCUGAAAGAAAGGGUGGAAGCAAAUCACCUCAGCCAUGUUUCAGAUGACAUCCAAUUAUUCCUGAGGAGCAUAUCUACUUCUGAAGAUUAUGACAAUUAAGCAACAAGAACAACAAGUGCUUUUAAAAAUGUGCUGCUUUUUUGCAACUCAAAUAUAGGUCCUUGACUCUUGCUGUGAAUCCUCUCUCCAGUCACUGAAAUGGUGCAGCUGAACAAUGUGAGAAAGUUUGUCUGCGGAUGGAAUCCCAGCAACAGAUAUCAAGCUAUUUUCUUUUGUGUGUUCUGUGUUUUUCCUAUUUCUAUUUAUCUUUAUCCAUCUGGCCAUCCUUCCUCCCAUCCUGAAUACACACGCAACACACACACACACACACACAAACACCCCUUCUUCCUCGAGAAGAGAAAUGUCAUGAUGACAUCAGGGUUGUGUGGGAAUACACGUAUUUUGAAGUCCACAACCAUAUUGGGCUGUCAUGCAACCCACGGACAGCUUCAAAGGGAGUUAGUGCACCAUCUGUAGACAGUUCCAUUCAGCAGUCCCCAUCACUCUCUGGCCAUCUGUUAACUUCUCAGCUUACCUGCACUGCAAAAUAAAGAGACGAUUUCCCAGAAAUCCCAGAGAAACAUGCCUUCCCUUGAGCUUCAGACCUGGGGAUUACAAAAAGGACAGAGGGGAAAAGAGAAAAGAACACCCCCCCCAAACACACACACACACACACACACACACACACACACACACACACUUUUUCUCAUUUCCGUAUGCCAACUUUUAUAUAAUGCAGCAGAACAGAAUAAAACAUUUCCCUCUAUUUCCAACAUUCAGAGGUAAGUGUAGUUCCUUACAUUGCCGAAAUGGAUUCAUCCAUGCACUGGGGUUAUCAGCACGUUUGUGAGAACCUCAAGGAUUGAAGAAAGACAAAGAUAAAAAUAACUUGCAUGUUUGUAUUUUCAUCACCUUCACCAUAUUUUUUGGGGAAGGGGGGAGAACGCAAGGAUGAAGGAACCUCAGAAACAACUGACUGAGAAUAGACAUGCUCAAUGGCCACAGAAUGAUGACUCUUGAGGACGGAGAGAAAUGCAAGAGCAGGUGGAAGCGGGGGGUGGAAUUGGAGCAUCACAGAGGAGUCGCAGGGUGUGGCUGAAUGGAACUGUACACAUUUCACAAGGCAACAUUUUAGUGCAGGUACCACUUGCCCGCCAGGUAAAGAUUUCCUUUGGUUUUUAAUGAACUGAGAUGUUGCUGUUAGUGUGCUAUCAAAAUUUCCCGCUGCUGUUAUGGAGGUGUGUGUGUGUUUGUGUGUGAAUGAAUGAUGGAAUUGCAUGCCUUUUGUUUUGUAUGAAUCUGUUCAUGGUACAAUGUAAUUAUGUAUAAUUAUGUAAUUUAUCUUUUUAAACAUAUUGUAAAUCAGCUGGAGACCUUUCGGUGACUAGUGGCUAACAAGUCUAACAACAACAACAACAACAACGGACAGAUGCUGGAAAUGAACAUUGUUUACUGCAGUGCAACUGAAAUUUUAAUGUGGUGCAAAUCAUUUCCAAUAGAAUCUUUAAAUUUGGAUAAAGAAGUCUUCCAUGCCUCUUGCAUGAUUCCAUAGCAAACCAGGGAUUGAUUUCCUUUAAAAUCAGCAUUCCUGUUACAUCUUCUCGUUUUUAGCAAUGUUUUUCCCAGCCUCCUUGCUAAUCAGAUUGCUCAAGUUUCCCUCAUCACUCCCAGCAUUUUGAGACACAUGCAUAGCUAUGAGUGUGAUGUCACCAAGAAAUUUUCAUGAUGUCACGGCCAGUUCUUCCUAGAGUAGUUUUUCCAUUUUUCUUUAGAAAAUGUUUUUCUCCCUUCAGAUAAGGUGUCAAGUGAACUGUAUUUAGCAUCUUACAAACAAUACUUUUCCUACCCAAACAAUAACUUAGAUUAGCAUUAAAUAGGUAAAUAACAUUAACUACAAGGAUAACCAAGUCUGGGAGAGGGAAACUAAAAAUUAAACCAGCAGUGGAAUCAGAAAGUGAGUACACAUUUUACUUGAGCACAAAAAGAGGAAAUAUUUUUAUUAUUUUAAUCAUCAUGACAAUUCAUGAACAUAUUAGCACAAAUUUCUCCUAACAAACAAAUAUUUCUACACAGGUUUUUUUUUACUGUUUUGCACAUUUUUACAAGUAAGUGUAUUUAAAAAUCUAUUUUUGUAUGCUAUUUUCACUAGUAUGCUCAUUUUUAUUCAAACUUUUCCAUAAUACAUGCAUUUUUGUAAGCACUGGCCAGUUGGAAAAUGGCACCAGAAAUAUCAGAAAACUGAGAAUUUCACAGGAUUCCCAUGUUUUGGUUCUCUUAUUGUUCUGGAAAGGGCUAAUUUGAUCAGAGUCACCUUUAAAGGGAAACCAAAUGGCAGUUCUCUUCCAUCCCUACUACUGCUGCCACAAAUUAAAUAAGCAAUAUGUUAAGUAAAAACCCCUUUGACUGCCCCUUGCUUUGCUGCCAUUGGUUCUUGGCAGGAUCAAGGAUGGAAACACCUGUUGGAAAUUGCACAAAUCAGGCAUGCUAAAUUAACACUUUAUUCUGUGUAAUUACCACAUCCAUUUGAAAUGUUAUGUGAAAUGUAUUGCUUAGUUUUGAAGAGGGGGAAGGGGUGCAGCCCAGACCUUGGCUUCACCUUUUACGAUGUUUAUGUAACAGAAUUUGCUUGGCUUCAUCUCUUAUGAUAUUGCUUUUGUUUCAUUGUCUUUGCUACUCAGUGAGCAAGCAAGCAGUUUCCAAGGCAAUGCUUCCUGGAGCAGAACCACUCAAACAUUUUUUGAAAUCUUUACACUUAAAGAAAACAACACAAGAACAACAACAUGAAAGAAUUUUUUUCCAGGUGUUUUUGUUUAUUGAUGUGUCAUAAUUUCAAGUGUUUUUGGUUACUCAACACAGGUAAUAAGAGAAGAACUCCUAAACAUGCUGUUUCAAUAAAACAUAUUCCAUGUUCAGCAACAAAAA